CACGUAGGGGACGAGCGUUGUUCGGAUUCAUUGGGCGUAAAGCGCGCGUAGGCGGUUUGUCGCGUCUGCCGUGAAAGUCCGGGGCUCAACUCCGGAUCUGCGGUGGGUACGGGCAGACUAGAGUGAUGUAGGGGAGACUGGAAUUCCUGGUGUAGCGGUGAAAUGCGCAGAUAUCAGGAGGAACACCGAUGGCGAAGGCAGGUCUCUGGGCAUUAACUGACGCUGAGGAGCGAAAGCAUGGGGAGCGAACAGG
rnacentral:rRNA from 1 species